GCAAAGUCUGUUCGAAAACAUUCUUCGAAUCGUUGAGUAAAAUUUCAAUUUACAUGAAAUAUAUUUGUAAUUGGACAAUUUGUAGUAAAUAAUCCAGCACGUUAUCUACUAAACUGCUUUAAUUGUGACAUUUGCUUUUACAUAAUGCUGUAGAGAAAGGGCAAAAAAUAGAAUGUGUAUUGCAAUGUAUUGGUUGUUUCAUAAUUGAAGGGCAUUUGGCUAGCGUCAAAUUCUAUUAUUUUGUCUAUUUUUAAUUACAUUGCCAAGGGCGCAUUAUUCUUAACAGUCGAUAUGGCUAGGAUGAAUUAUGUGCAUAUAGACAAUGUGUUGCACGCAACUGAUACCUAGUUGUUCAAUACCUAUUUACAUUUUUUUUACUAUAUGUCAGUGCCCGAAAAGCUGGAAAAUACAAUAGAUAAUGAAGAAAUUCAGAAAUACGUAAUUUGAUGAAUUGUUGUAAAUGUCGCCAAAAAGUUGAUGUACGAAACGUGUAUGAAUAUGGCGUAUGACUUGCUUGCCAUUCAGCCUGAAACAUAGGAACAGAUCUUAUUGUUCCGCUUAGACAUAUAAUAUAUGAAGAAUAAACAUAUAAUAUAUGAAGACAUAUAAUAUAUGAAGUGAAAAGUGCUGCACAAGAUGCUGUGGAAUGGUUUUUAUCGUGAUCAUACUUAAACGUUUGAAAAUAUCAGUUAUCAAAUCCAAUUAAUAAACUCUGAAUUGUAUAAGUCAGCUGGCAAAGAUUCAACUAACUUUUCGAAAUUCGCUCUGAACAGAAUUUUCUACAGGGGAACACAUAAGGACAAAUUUAGUAAGCUCUUAACAGGUCAUUCUGAAAAAACGAAGAGCUGCAAGUUCUAACAAUGUUCCGGGCGAAAAGUUGAUCGCAGGUGCUUCCUUCCUCAAGAGCGUGGGAAGAAUCUCCUCAUGUUGAGUGUAUACAUUCAGAAUAUCGAGACUUCUCAACCCGAAGAGGAUGUCACCCACAGUGCAGCCUACGUGCAUUGAUUGUGGAAUAUAUUGACAGGUGUUCUUCACCGUCGAAAACAGAAGAUCGUAAUUUAGAGGGCGACAUAUCUGCUGGACAAAUCUCUAGCGCGAGUUAUAAAUCUGCGCAGUGAAAGACCUGUUGCCUAUUACCGACUUCCUUCCGUUGUCGCGCAGCAGGCAGCAUGUGAACAACUAAAUGCAGCACACUGAUUUCACAUGGUCUUGUUUCAUCCAUCGGAAGCAAUAUCAUGUAAAAGUGGCUCUAAUAGAAAAAAUAUUAUUGUUAUGCCUAUGUGUUUUGUAAA